rnacentral:lncRNA from 1 species
ACCGUCACAUUCAUUACAUUUAUAGGCAAAGGCAUUAGAUAGGUGAUAACAUGAGUGACAUCUAAAAAGGUGGCCUGAAGUAAGGAUGAGGGAACUUUUCUGGCAAUAAUCAAGCCAAACAGGCUUCAUCAUCUUAGGUAAUUCAGCACAGGCUUUAUGAAGAAAGAAAUCACAUUCUGAACAAUAGUAAAAGGAAGCUGAGAUAGGUAACAUGCACCCCUCACAACAUUUAUCAUACCUCGCAAUUUUCUCACCUAACAUCAAGUCAUGCAUAUGCUUGAAAUGUUUUAUUUUUGUGGCUUCUCCAGCAUCAUUCUUCUCAAUAAUACAAUAGAUGGAGUCAAUAGAUUCACCAGGCAAAAGUGCCAAACUAUCGAUAGAUUUCUCAUCUUCAUUCUCAGGUGAAACUAUAUAAUACCAGCUUUUAUUUUUUGUCACGCAAUUCACAUGGGCAAUAAUUUUGCAAUCUGAACAAUAGUAACUGCCGUGCUCCGCAUUGACCUCAUCGUGACAAAUUACGCAAUCCCUAUUCUUAAGAUCUUCAUCAAGGAAAUAUGUGUGAAAAAUGGGAUGGUGAUGCCACCUGCUUUUGAUGAUGCGUGGCAAUGAAGUGCAUUGCUUAUGAACCAUAAUAUUGCAUGUAGUACAUAUGUAGGCAACAUGAUUUCCUUCAGUGCCACAGGCAUCACAAAUGAAAGGAGCUCGUCUCCAAAACAAGGUGAAUGGGUGUUGAUGAAUUUUAUCAGGCGAUGUUGGUACACAAUCAAUGUGAACAGCAACCUCGCAAGGCAAGCAACAAUAAACAAAUCCUCUUUCUUGGGUUUCUUGGCAUAUGUUGCAAGAAAACCUUUCAAUAUUGAAUUGGAGACCAAGAGGAUGUUUGCGGUGACACAUAUGAUUGAUUUUGAGAGGUAAUUCAGCACAUUUUUUAUGGAGAUGGAAUCCACAAUCAAGAGAAAAGUAGGUAGAACUUAGCAACGGUUUGCAACACCAGAAACACUGAAAACUUUCAAGUUCUUCACCAUCGUUGUCGGUGGAAAUCAAUGGAUCUUCAAGAGCAACAUGUUGAAGCUCUUCAACAUUUUUUUGAGCAAUAUUAUAUGUAAAUAAAGCACACGCGAUAUGAAAGUAUAAUUUGCAAGAGCAAUGAUAAAUGGAACCCUUACAUAUCUUAUCACAAAAAUCGCAAAUGCAGAAUAAUGCUUGAGCAUAAGGUGAACUUUGCAGGAGGAGGAGAGGAUGCUUAGGAUGAAAAGGGUGAUUGAUCUCCAGGGGUGCCUCAGCACAUCUCUUAUGGAGGUAAAACCCACACUCCACACAGCUAAAACUUGGAGCUGACAGUGUCACCUCCUCCUCACACCUUGAGCAGUAAGCUUCUUCACUGGGCGUGCUCUGCCCUUCAUUCAACACCAGGGGAUGCUCAUGUCCAAAAUUUUCAGACUCACUCAUCUCUCCUUUCUUUUUGUGUCUGCCCCUGAUUUGGAGGUUAAGAGAAAGGUUUCAACGCAAAAGAGAUUAAAAGCCAAGAAGGGUGCUUCCGGAUUUGGGAAAUUGGGAGAGAUUUGAGAGGGAGGUUCUUGGGAGGAUGGAAAGAAUCAAGGUCAACGCUCAUAUUUACUUGUUAGUAGCAAUUCUGCAACGAGUCUUUUAUUAUUAUUAUUAUUAUUAUUGUUAAAUUGGAUGCAUUAUUUGUCUGUGCGGUCGUCAUUCUACUUGCUUGGCUAUGUUAUAUCGUAUAUAAUAAAUAUGACACUAGUGGUAGUAAUUAACGUAUCUUUGGCAUCCUUUCAAUAUUUUAAAAUUCUUACAAAAUCUAAUCUAUAUCUAUAUAUAUAUAUAUAAUGAAUCUUGUCACAUAACCGUUGGUUUGGUUGUCAAUAAAAGCAGCAAAAAUGGGCUUCAUAAUUUACUCAUUUUGAUAGGCAACUCUACAUUAUACGGUAGGGAAUAUUUGAAACUAUUUUAAAAACCAUUACGCUAAAUGAAUUGAAUUGUCUACUGUUCCUCCUGGUUUAUAAUUAUCAUUUCCUUUUCCUUGAUUCCAAAAUAUAAAAAUAAAAAAUUAUAUUAAUAUUUUAAUGAUAAAAUUAUUAAUAAUUUAANAAAAUAUUAUAAAAAUAAAAAUUAUAUAAUAUUUUAAUGAUAAAAUUAUUAAUAAUUUAAUACUAAAUAUAUUUUUAAUAUUUUGAAAAGAAGAAGAAAUUGUAAAAGAAAAAUAAGAAAAGGAAAAUUAACACAAAAUAUCAUAUUAAUAUUUUAAUACUAUGUAAUAAGCAUUUUAUUAAAAAGAAAUUAAAAGAGAAAAAGGGGAAAAUGAAAAUAUAAAAAAAAUCAUAUUCAUAAUUUAAUAAUAAAUUAUUAAUAUAAUUUUAAUUAAAAAUAAAAUUAGAAGAAAAAAAUUGGAAAAUGAAAAUAGAGAAAUAAUACAAUAAUAAAAUAAAUAUCAUAUUAAUAUAUUUAAUAACAAAUUAUUAUUUACUAAUAGCAAUCCCAAAAACCAAUGAAUUUCAAAAAGCUCAAAAUUUUUAUUUAAAUUAUAAUAAAAGACUUCAUUUUAUCACUUAUUCUUUUAUGAUUGUAAAAUUAUUUUUAUCAAUCAAACACUGAAAUAAUGUCAAAAUUAAAAUUUCAUUUUAUUAAUCAAACUAUAUGAAUCUCUAUUUUAUUCUAUUAUAUCUUAUUCUACUCUAUAUAAUAAUUAUUUUAUGUUUCCUCUAUUUAAUUCCGAUACUCAAUUUUGCCACUUAUCUUUCCGUAGCUUUGGAAAAGGUGUUGCCUUUUAAAGGACUGAGAUCAAAGAAAAAUAAAGAAAUGAAGAGCUCAGAAUGGUGGAUAGAGAAGAAAGGCAUAUGUUGUCGUUGAAGCAAGCAGCAUGGAAAUGUAUCCGUGAACGUUACAGCCAUAUCUAGCCCAAAAGAGAAAAUGUCAGUUAUGUCCUCUACUCCAUCUAUUCUCCUAAGAUUACAAAGUAACAAACAGACACGUGUGAAACUGCUGUCUCAUUUGAUUUCAUGAUUUAUAAGCUCUGCUCUGCUCUGUUCUGUGCUUAACAGAGUUUCUAACAGCAGAUUUUGAUGGACCAAUCAUAUUCUCAUUGACUCCUCUGAACCCUUCCCGAUUACUCUGUCUUUCUCUCCUUUCAUGGCGAUCGCUGCUGCUUCUUCCUUCUCCGUCGGUAAUCACACUCAACCAGCAUAAUAUGUUUACGAUAAUAUGUUUUUUAUGUUUAAAUUGAUUAAUAAUAGCAAUCGAAAAAGCAGGAUAGAGAUUACGUUUUGUUAAUUGAUUAAGUAUCCAUUUCGAUUUCCAUGUUUUAAGGCAAAUACUUUUCCCUUCUUUUUUAUAGUUAAGUUGUUUUAGUCGAUCUGAAGUUGUGUAAUUAGUUUCCUGCUUGUUUGCUGAUGAUGAAGCAACUACUUCAUUUUACUACUAACUUUUCCCUAAACUUUUUUUUCUCUUGUUUAUUCCCAUAAUUUUAAAAUGAUAAGAAAAACUUGAAAUUGGGUAUUCCAGUAAUGUCAAAUUUUAUGUGUGUUUAAGAAGAAAGUAUUUUUUAACUGUUGAAUGAAGAAAAUAACUUUGAAAACCCUCACUGCGAAAAUUUUAUGAGAUUCAUAUAUCCUUUUUAUGGCUAUCAUUAGAAUACUGACAUGCAAGUGGGUAAGCUCAUGUUUUGGUUUCAGUUGAUUUUCAUUUAUUUAGUUGCUAAGAAUUUUUUUUAUAUUAUUUAUAAAUUUAUGAAAUGGGAUUAGUAGAGCCAUUGGCCUUAUCAAAUAGUUAAAACAGUAUAAAUUUCAUUUCACCAAGAAGUGAACCUUUCACAAAGUAAUUGGUACCUGGUCUUGGGUUCUAUAGUUGAUUUCCGGAUGCAUGUGGUUUUUACUUCUAAUAUGAGGUUUAGUACUUAUUUUUUUCCUUCAUACUGGAUGUGCAUAAAAUUCUAAGGAAUGCACAUUUGGUGAAUAUUUGUUUCUACAUUUUACUAUUCUAUUUAAGUAUGAUGUUUGCAUUUGCAUUUUCAUGACAUUUUUUUUAACCCCUUUCUUAUUGCACGGAGCUAUCAGGUCCUUCCCAGUGUCAUUUAUGUUAAGUGGAAGGGGUUUAUUACUCACCAUUACAUGGGGUUAACAGCAGUUGGGUCAAAACUACAGUUGAUGGCUGCAGAGCUAGCGACCUGUCUGGCAUGAGGUGCAAAAAUAGUUAUUUGUUUAAGGUUAUAUGGGAAAGAGAAAACCAUUUCUCGAUUGUGUAAAAUUGAUCUGGUUUUCUUUAUGGAUUUGUUUAUGAUUUUGAUAGCAGUAUUUGUCCAUUUCUUUGGGAAGCCAUAUAUUUUUGAAAGCUUAGAUUUUAUUGAACAUGCAUCUUGAUUGUUGAGUUAUAAGCAUAAGUUACAUAAUAUUUGAUAUUUUGGCUAACUGCAUUUGUUGUGUUAUGAUUGUUUAUCCUGAGAGUUUUUGGUAUUGUUGUAGUGUUGUCAGGUGAGAGUCAAGUCUGUGUUGUGAAUAUCAUUCUUUUUAGCUUAUUGUACAAAUUGGUGACCAGCAACUAUUUCUUUGCCCACCUGAGUAGGAAAGCAAUAAUAUUGUUAAAAUAUGUCUUGUGGAUCCUUUAAUUUGUUAAACUAUGGGUUUUUGUAUUAGCUUGGCUAAUGCAAUGAUGAUGUUGCGGGUAACACCGUAACACUUCCAUUGUUGCUGGAAGUUCUUGUUUGUUUUUGGUCAAGGGGAAAAACAUGUUCUAUGGUUCAAUUGCCUCCACUUCAAUGUUGUUUGAGUUCAAGGCAAUUCUACACCCAAAUAUGUUAACUUACUCAUGUCUGGUUGUGUAAUAUUAUAAGGUUUAGUUAAUAUAGGACAUUUAUAUGGAAUGAAUGUAGUGUGGAUUGUUUGGGAGAUGACCAUGGGUACAUUCAGUGUCAAAAAAAAAAAGAGGUAACAUGUGAAGCAUGGUCCUAUUUAGCAUCCAUCAACAAUUGACUCUAGUGCUUUCUAGGUCCCUUUUUAACUUUUGCACAAAUAAGUUGAUUAUUUAUAUACAAAUUAGACUACAUUUUACCAUCCGAUCUUCUUAGCUGUUUUGGAUUUUUUGCGACUUUUUCAUAUGAAACUUAGUUUUUUUUUAGAUCCUUGGUUAAGAAGCAAUUUUUCAUUUCAUAUUCAGAUGCAGGAGUCCAUUUUUUGAAUCAACAUAAUUUUAUUGGUGUUUAAAUGUAUAAACGUAUAAGUAUAUUAUCGUGUUUAAUCAUAUUAUGGUGUUUAAACAUGUAUACAUGACACGUUUAUCAAUUUGUUAAAAAUUAAUAAUCAAAAACCAUUUUAACCUUACUUAAAUAAUUUUGAACAAUUAUUUUAAUAAAAAUUUUAAAUUUUAUAAAGAUAACAAUGUAAUUAUGCCAUGUCUAACUUUAAUUUUAAAUUUUAUUUUAUUAUAUUUGAUGUUAUUAUCAUUUUUUUGUUAUAAUUUUUUUAUAAUUAUUGAUUUUAAAUUACAAUAAUAAAAUUAUAUUUAAUUAUAAAUAUUUUUAUUUAAUCGUGUUAAAUGUGUUACUAAUCGUAUUGUGUCAUAUAUUGAUAUAUUUAACAAAUGUGUUAAUUAUGUUUUAUCGUGUUAUACGAUUAUUAAAUAUAUAUGUAUACAUAUUUCAAAUUUAAAAUAUAAAUAGUAUUCAUAUUAUUUUCAUAUUUAAUUUUAAUAUAUUUUAUAUUUAAUCGUGUAUAAUUUAAGACACAAAAAUAUGAAUUGGUAGAUCUAACUACUCAAAAUUACUGCAAGUUAUUUAUUUUAAGGUGGGUAAAGGAAGGAAAAAAGUCAACCUUAACACUUUGCUUUUGGUAGCUUUGGAAAUGGUUCUGCUUUCUAAAGGAGACAUGAAAAUCUAUGAGGUCAUCAUGAGUGAGAUCAAGAAGAAUUAAGAGAUGCAGAGCUUAGACUGGUGGAUAAAGAAGGGGGCAGAUAUCGUUGAAGCAAAGAACCAUGGAAAUGCAAGUACUUCUAUCUACAACAUUUUUUGUUCUUACUUCGGACAGAUGCUUUAAUAGAAGCAUCAAAAUGGGUGCUUCAGCUAUUGCCUUUUAUUAAUGGUAGGUUAACAUCUUAAGUCAGUCAUCUAUAAGAAUCAUCAAACAAUUAUAGGAAUAUGACUAUAUGUAGCAAAAUGUCCUUUUACGAGUCAAUCAAGAAAAUUGUUUCCUACAAGCUGGACUCAGACAAAAAGAUAGCUAUUUUAAGAGUCAAAUUUUACUCAAAAGUCGUGAACAUACCUUGUUCCUCCGUACAGAGGAGCAUCCUUUAUCAACAUUUGUCUUACCACCAAAGAGCAGGGUUGCUUUGGGCUUUUGUACUACAACGAACCAUCACUGACCAAGCCUCUACAGCAGAUGGAGGAUAGAUGAGGACAGAUUGCGAAGUGAUUCCUGUUUCUCAGGCAUCCUUUGUUGUUCAAGCUAAUGUGUAUAAACAUUGAGAGAAGCUAAAUAUUAAAAAUUUCUCAAAAGUGGUUAUUCCAGUCAAAUCAUGGACAUUUCUAUACCAAAGAAGGAAUGUACAAUUCAGUAAAAGAAUCAGAUAAUAUCCCUGAAACUCCCUACUAGGCGUGCAGAACCCAAUCUAGCUACGAGGGUGUAAAUAUAUGUUUAUUGACAGGGUGCACUGUGAUUAUUGACGAUGUCAUCCACCAAAUGAAUUGGAAAGUUGACAACUUAUUCGCAGCAUGUACCUUCUCAAUACCAGAAUCUUAACAUUUUUUCAAAAGAAAUUCAGGAAGGGCAAUUAAUUGAGUCAUCAGAACCAUAUUCAGAAAAUAAAUCACAAUCUGACUCCACUUCAGAAUCAAGACCAUUUCCACAAGCUUUAUCACCAAGAACAAUCUUUGAUGGGUCCUCAAGACCUACAUUGGCAGUUUUCUUGUAUAAGCCCCUGCUCCUAUCCAUAAAUCCUUUUCUCAUCAUGCUUGCAAAUCUUUCUCUAAUAUCAACAAGGGGAUGUCUGUGAAUAAGUCGUUGACAAUCAUAGGCUUCCCUAAGAACAACAGUUUGUGUAUCACACAUCUUGGAAAUAUAAAAGAUGUCAGGAUGGCGCUCAAACACCUUGGUAAACUUCUGAGGCAGUGACAAUGGUUUAAGUAGAUUACUCACAUUUUGGCGUUCAGUUUUUUUCUCUAUCGUAAGGUGAAGAAACUCAUGAAACACGCCCACGAUUCUCUUCUCUGACACAUCAGUACGUGGAUCCAAGUGAGAGGCAUCAGCAUAAAGUGGAGUAUAAGGUGGUUUCUGCCAUUCUUUUAACCACUCCACGCAUUUCCUCUUCAAUCCAAAACCCCUUGUAAAUCCUAUUGGAAAGGCUAAACAGUUAUUUUUCAAAUCUUCCUCCAUUUGCAGAAAAGCAUUCUUCUCUAAUUGGGAGACAGCAAGUGUAUCAUUCCAUGAUAAAAGUUCCAAACCAAUGCAAUCAUCAGCAAGGUGAACAAAAGAAAAUAAAUCAGGGUAAUGUGCAAUGAAGGUUUUGCUGUAAUCAUAAUUUCAUAAAAAGUCAACAAGUGAUACAUUUAAACCACACAACAUAUACCAACUUUAUUGUCAUUACAACCACACUGUCAAAUUAAAGGGAAUUUCUAGAGUGAAUAAUCAAAAGCAAUCCAAGCCUCACACAUUCUAAGUGCAGAUGCCUACAUUACAUUUAAACUUAUAAUUGAAAAAUAAGUUACAAUUACAAAAUAACAAGCAUUACAAGUAACAAAGUAUGGACCAUACUCUGCUUAUGCUUUCCUGCAAAUGAAGUGGAAGUUUUCAAGUAUUUUGCUCAAUAAUACCUCCAUCUAAAUUUUUCUCGAGAUGUGAAAUUACCAUCAUAAAUUAUUUGGUGCUAUACAUCUCCAGUGAACAAUAUAGUUGCAUCCAGAAGUAACACAUUCGAGAGCCAAAUCUUGACAAGGCUUACCACAUUCAAUGCACUUAGGGUAGUAAUAAAUCUUCUUCACGAAGAUGAGAGGGUGAGGAUGAUCUCCUUCUUUGUAGAUACUCCCAAGUUUGAUAUAUGGAUAGUGUCCAAGAACACAACUCCUAUGAGCAGAAGUUUCACAAGUUGCACAAUGAAAAAACCAAUAAUUUAGAUCUAUUCCCUCUUCACAAACGUCACAAUAAUGACAUUCUGAAUAAUCAUUAUCAUCACUAUAAGUGAGUGCAAGAACAUGUUCAUCAAAUUUGUGUCGAGCUAUAGUUGGUAUUGCAACACAUGAAAGAUGCAAAGCAAAAUUGCAAUCCUUACAACCGUAUGCUGCUCUUAUAUCACCACCACAAGCACAACACUUCCCUUCAUACUCGAUAUAAAAAAGGAGGGGGUGUUUAUGUCCUUGACAUGUUAGAGUAUCAGGAGUUAGAGUUACACAUAGAAGGCAUACACGAUCGUCACAUUCAUUACAUUUAUAGGCAAAGCCAUUCGAUAUGUGCUGACAUAAGCGACAUCUAAAAAUGUAGUCUGAAGUGAGGAUGAGGACACUUUGCUGGCAGUCAUGAAACCAAACAUGCUUCAUCGUAGGUAAUUCAGCACAGGCUUGAUGAAGAAAGAAACCACAUUCUAAACAAUAGUAAAAGGAAGCUGAGAUAAGUAACAUGCACCCCUCACAAUACUUAUCAUACUCUACAAUUUGCUCACUUAACAUCAACUCAUGCAUGUGCUUGAAAUGUUUUAUUUUUGUGGCUUCUCCAGCAUCAUUCCUCUCAAUAACACAAGUGAUGGAGUCAAUAGAUUCACCAGGCAAAAGUGCCAAACUAUCGAUAGAUUUCUCAUCUUCAUUUUCAGGUGAAACUAUAUAAUACCAGGUUUCAUUUUUUGUCACACAAUUCACAUGGGCAAUAAUUUUGCAAUCUGAACAAUAGUAACUGCCGUGCUCUGCAUUGACCUCAUCGUGACAAAUUAUGCAAUCCCAAUACUUCAAAUCUUCUUCAUGAAGAAAAUAUUUGUGAAAAAUGAGAUGGUGAUGCCACCUGCUUUUGAUGAUGUGUGGCAAUGAAAUGCAUUUCUUAUGAACUAUAAUGUUGCAUGUAGUACAUAUGUAGGCAGCACAAUUUCCUUCGGUACCACAUGCACUACAAAUGAAAGGGAAUUGUAUCCAAAACAGGGUGAAUGGGUGUUGAUGACUGUUAUCUUCAACGAUGGGCAGGGGUGGGGUUGAUACACACUCAAUGUGAACAGCAACCUUGCAAGGCAAACAACAGUAAACAUAUCCUCUUUUUUGGGUUUCUUGGCAUAUGUUGCAAGAAAACCGUUGACUAUUAAAUUGUAGAACAAGAGGAUGUUUGUGGUGGCACAUAUGAUUGAUUUUGAGAGGUAAUUCAGCACAUUUUUUAUGGAGAUGGAAUCCACAAUCAAGAGAAAAGUAGGUAGAACUUAGCAACGGUUUCCAACACACGAAACACUGAAAACUUUCAAGUUCUUCACCAUCAUUUCCGGUGGAAAUCAAUGGAUCUUCAAGAGCAACAUGUUGAAGCUCUUCAAAAAAUUUUUGAGCAAUGUUAUAUGUAAAUAAAGCACAUGUGAUAUGAAAGUCCAAUCCACAAGAGCAAUGAUAAAUGGAAGCCUUACAUGUCUUAUCACAAAUAUUGCAAAUGCAGUCUCCAUUAACAUAAGGUGAAUUUUGCAGAAGGAGGAGAGGAUGCUUGGGAUGAAAAGGGUGAUUGAUCUCCGAGGGUGCCUCAACACAUUUCUUAUGGAGGUGAAACCCACACUCCACACAGCCAAAACUUGGAGCUGACAGUGACACCUCCUCCCCACACCUUGAGCAGCAAGCUUCUUCACUUUGAUUGCUCUGCUUUUCAUUAAACACCAGUGGAUGUUGGUGCCCAAAAUUUUCAGACUCACUCAUCUCUCUUUCCGAUUCGCACCUCUACCACAAUAGGUUUCAAAAGGAAAGGGGAACUUUGGCUAUAACAAAGAAAGAUGUAGUAAGGCCAAUGCUUAUAAAAUAACUAGAGUGUAGUAUUUCUAAUGGUAAUGCCUUAUUCCUUGCGUGCCGCCACAUUCAAAAUGGAAAAAAGAAGAAAGAAUCCCACAAAGGCAGAGACCUAACCAAACCAGGAAACAAGGUAGAUGCUUUGAUGGCAGGCAUAGCAAAAUAUAACAACAUAUAAAAGUAAAAAGCAAGUAUAAGGAUUGCAUGCUCUAUUCAAGUUUGAAACUUUUACUUUGUAAGUUUAAAGUUAGAGCAUCCCUUAGGAUACAAUGCAAGCUACUGAGGUCAAUGUUAUGACAAUUCUGGGCUCUGGCAGCAAUGAAGUUGUCUAAAUUUAAAAUCCUUCUAAUAUAUCUAAUGAAACAUGUAUGUAGAAUAAAAUAUAAAUAAGACCUUCAAUUAUUAAUUUAUUACAAUAUUUAUGGACCUUGACGUGUAUAAUUUAUUUUAUAUGAACUAAAAGAUUUGGUUUUAAGAAGAACAUAAUAUUAUGAAUACUUUUAUAAUAACCAAAAUAAAUAAAUAAAACAUUAUUAAUUUAAAUUCAAAAAAUCAAGAAAUAUAAUAAAGCACUAUUAUAUAGUCAGGCUCAAGGGAAGAAUUCUUAUAUAAGCCCAAGAACAAUCUUUGAUGGGACCUCAAGACCUACAUUGGCAGUUUUCUUGUAUAAGCCCCUGCUCCUAUCCAUAAAUCCUUUUCUCAUCAUGCUUGCAAAUCUUUCUCUAAUAUCAACAAGGGGAUGUCUGUGAAUAAGUCGUUGACAAUCAUAGGCUUCCCUAAGAACAACAGUUUGUGUAUCACACAUCUUGGAAAUAUAAAAGAUGCCAGGAUGGCGCUCAAACACCUUGGUAAACUUCUGCGGCAGUGACAAUGGUUUGAGUAGAUUACUCACAUUUUGGCGUUCAGUUUUUUUCUCUAUCGUAAGGUGAAGAAGUUCAUGAAACACGCCCACGAUUCUCUUCUCUGACACAUCAGUACGUGGAUCCAAGUGAGAGGCAUCAGCAUAAAGUGAAGUAUAAGGUGGUUUCUGCCAUUCUUUUAACCACUCCACGCAUUUCCUCUUCAAUCCAAAACCCCUUGUAAAUCCUAUUGGAAAUGCUAAACAGUUAUUUUUCAAAUCUUCCUCCAUUUGCAGAAAAGCAUUCUUCUCUAAUUGGGAGACAGCAAGUGUAUCAUUCCAUGAUAAAAGUUCCAAACCAAUGCAAUCAUCAGCAAGGUGAACAAAAGAAAAUAAAUCAGGGUAAUGUGCAAUGAAGGUUUUGCUGUAAUCAUAAUUUCAUAAAAAGUCAACAAGUGAUACAUUUAAACCACACAACAUAUACCAACUUUGUUGUCAUUACAACCACACUGUCAAAUUAAAGGGAAUUUCUAGAGUGAAUAAUCAAAAGCAAUCCAAGCCUCACACAUUCUAAGUUCAGAUGCCUACAUUACAUUUAAACUUAUAAUUGAAAAAUAAGUUACAAUUACAAAAAUAACAAGCAUUACAAGUAACAAAGUAUGGACCAUACUCUGCUUAUGCUUUCCUGCAAAUGAAGUGGAAGUUUUCAAGUAUUUUGCUCAAUAAUACCUCCAUCUAAAUUUUUCUCGAGAUGUGAAAUUACCAUCAUAAAUUAUUUGGUGCUAUACAUCUCCAGUGGACAAUAUAGUUGCAUCCAGAAGUAACACAUUCGAGAGCCAAAUCUUGACAAGGCUUACCACAUUCAAUGCACUUAGGGUAGUAAUAAAUCUUCUUCACGAAGAUGAGAGGGUGAGGAUGAUCUCCUUCUUUGUAGAUACUCCCAAGUUUGAUAUAUGGAUAGUGUCCAAGAACACAACUCCUAUGAGCAGAAGUUUCACAAGUUGCACAAUGAUAAAACCAAUAAUUUAGAUCUAUUCCUUUUUUACAAACGUCACAAUAAUGAUAUUCUAAAUAAUCAUUAUCAUCACUGUAAGUGAGUGCAAGAACUUGUUCGUCAAAUUUGUGUCAAGCGAUAGUUGGUAUUGCAACACAUGAAAGAUGCAAAGCAAAAUUGCAAUCCUUACAACCGUAUGCUGCUCUUAUAUCACCACCACAAGCACAACACUUCCCUUCAUACUCGAUAUAAAAAAGGAGGGGGUGUUUAUGUCCUUGACAUGUUAGAGUAUCAGGAGUUAAGAGUUACACAUCGAAGGCAUGCACGAUCGUCACAUUCAUUACAUUUAUAAGCAAAGCCAUUCGAUAUGUGCUGACAUAAGCAACAUCUAAAAAUGUAGUCUGAAGUGAGGAUGAGGACACUUUGCUGGCAAUCAUGAAACCAAACAUGCUUCAUCUUAGGUAAUUCAGCACAGGCAUUAUGAAGAAAGAAAUCACAUUCUAAACAGUAGUAAAAGGAAGCUAAGAUAGGUAACAUGCACCCCUCGCAAUACUUAUCAUACUCUGCAAUUUUCUCACUUAACAUCAACUCAUGCAUAUGCUUGAAAUGUUUUCUUUUUGUGGCUUCUCCAGCAUCAUUCUUCUCAAUAACACAAGUGAUGGAGUCAAUGGAUUCACCAGGCAAAAGUGCCAAACUAUCCUAGAUUUCUCGUCUUCAUUUUCGGGUGAAACUAUAUAAUACCAGCUUUCAACUUUUGUCACGCAAUUCACAUGGGCAAUAAUUUUGCAAUCUAAACAAUAGUAAUUGCCGUGCUCUGCAUUGACCUCAUCGUGACAAAUUGUGCAAUCCCCAUUCUUAAAAUCUUCAUCAUGAAGGAAAUAUGUGUGAAAAAUGUGAUGGUGAUGCCACCUGCUUUUGAUGAUGCGUGGCAAUGAAAUGCAUUUUUUAUGCACUAUAAUAUUGCAUGUAGUACAUAUGUAGGCAACAUAAUUUCCUUCAGUGCCACAUGCAUUACAAAUGAAAGGAGCUUGUCUCCAAAACAAGGUGAAUGGGUGUUGAUGACUUUUAUCUUCAACGAUGGGCAGGGGUGACAUACACUCAAUGUGAAAAGCAACUUUGCAAGGAAAACAAUAAUAAACAAAUCCUCCUUGUUGGGUUUCUUGGCAUAUGUUGCAAGAAAACCUAUCACUAUUGAAUUGUAGCACAAGAGGAUGUUUGCGGUGACACAUAUGAUUGAUUUUGACAGGUAAUUCAACACAUUUUUUAUGGAGAUGGAAUCCACAAUCAAGAGAAAAGUAUGUAGAACUUAGCAACGGUUUCCAACACCCGAAACACUGAAAACUUUCAAGUUCUUCACCAUCAUUUCCGGUGGAAAUCAAUGGAUCUUCAAGAGCAAACAUGUUGAAGCUCUUCAAAAAUUUUUCGAGCAAUGUUAUAUGUAAAUAAAGCACAUGUGAUAUGAAAGUCUAAUCCACAAGAGCAAUGAUAAACGAAGGCCUUACAUGUCUUAUUACAAAAAUCGCAAAUGCAGCGUACUCCUUGAGCAUAAGGUGACUUUUGCAGGAGGAGAAGCGGAUGGUUGCGAUGAAAAGGGUGAUUCAUCUCUGAGGAUGCCUCAGCACAUUCUUAUGGAGGUGAAACCCACACUCCACACAGCUAAAACUUGGAGCUGACAGUGACACCUCCUCCCCACACGUUGAGCAGUAAGCUUCUUCACUUUGAUUGCUCUGCUUUUCAAUAAACACCAGUGGAUGUUGGUGCCCAAAAUUUUCAGACUCACUCAUCUCUCUUUCCGAUUCGCACCUAUACCACAAUAGGUUCCAAAAGGAAAGGGGAACUUUGGCUAUAACAAAGAAAGAUGUAAUAGGGCCAAUGCUUAUAAAAUAAAGAGAGUGUAGUAUUUCUAAUGCUAAUACCUUAUUCCUUGCGUGCCGACACAUUCAAAAUGGAAAAAAGAAGAAAGAAUCCCACAAAGGCAGAGACCUAACUAAACCAAGAAACAAGGUAGAUGCUUUGAUGGCAGGCAUAGCAAAAUAUAACGGCAUAUAAAAGUAAAAAGCGAGUAUGAGGAUUGCAUGCUCUAUUCAAGUUUGAAACUUUUACUUUGUAAGUUUAAAGUUAGAGCAUCCCUUAGGAUACAAUGCAAGCUACUGAGGUCAAUGGUAUAACAAUUCUAGGCUCUGGCAGCAAUGAAGUUGUCUAAAUUUAAAAUCCUUCCAAUAUAUCUAAUGAAACAUGUAUGUAGAAUACAAUAUAAAUAAAUAAAUAAAAACAUUAUUAAUUUAAAUUAUUAAUUAUUAAUUUAUUACAAUAUUGAUGGACCUUGAUGUGUAUAAUUUAUUUUAUAUGAACUAAAAGAUUUGGUCUUAGGAAGAACAUAAUAUAAUGAAUACUUUUAUAAUAACCAAAACAAAUAAAAAAAACAUUAUUAAUUUAAAUUCAAAAAAUCAAGAAAUAUAAUAAAGCACUAUUAUAUAGUCAGGCUCAAGGGAAGAAUUCUUAUAUAUUUUGUGUCUUCCUAAUUAAGGAAAUUGAAGGAGGAAGAAGCUGGUGGGGGAAUUCGUUGCCUUCUUGAAGAAGCUUAUAUCAUAGGUUUCAUGAAAAGUUAUCUGCCACCAAAGUUGAAAAACUGCUGCUAGCCUUGGUUGGUUACUGGUUUCUUUAGGCUCAUUACGUUUUCUUUUUCCAAAAUUGUUGCUUUUGUGUCGUGUUGGUCAGUUGAACCAUUUGGCUAUUGCAGUUUCCAGUGACAAAAUCACAAUAUUGCUACAUGUUGGGCUAUGGUUAAAUAGUAACAGAGUUAAGAGGACAAGUUUGAGCAAUUGAAUAUAGGUAUUCUUUUAUGACAAAAAAAUUUAGUAGAGGGACAAAUGAUACUAAUAACAAUCCAUUUAAAUCAGCGAAACUUUGUACCAAAGAAAAGGAUCGAAGUUCCAUGUCAUACAUGUGAGAGGUCAUCUUUUUGGAACAUAUUACUCCUUUCUUCCAAAGUUGGCAGCACCCCCUCAAUUAACUCUCAACAGUGAAAGUAAUACAUUAAACAUGCCAACUACCUAAUCUUGCCCUACACUGUAGUACAACAUGCUUUUUGGAUUUCUUUUUCCAAUUUGUGCAAUAAAAUAUUAAAAAAAAAAGGCAGUAUGUUCCGUUUGUGACAGAGGGCCUCCAAGCUUAAGCAGGUACCAGACUAGGAAGAACAUGGAAAACUCAAGUAACUUACAAAGGAUAAACAACUCCACUUCAAAUAAGCAUCACACCAGUCAAAAUUUUUAACAAUCACAUUUUAGAUUGGCUGGAAUACAAUCUUUUCUUUUUUUUCCUUCAAGAGAUGCAAAUGGUACUCCUGCACACAUUUUCCCACAAAUGAAACCCAUAUAAACAUCAACUGUAACCGGAAAUUAUUAUAGAAUUUAAAGGUCAGUCAUAUAUAAGAAUCAUCAAUAAAUUAUGGGAAUAUGACCAUAUGCUGCAAAAUGUCCUUUUGCGAGUCAAUCAAGAAAAUUGUUUCCUACUGGCUGGACUCUAACCAAAAAUAUAGCUAUUUAAAGAGUCAAAUUUUACGCAGAAGUCCUGAACAUACCUUGUUUCUUAGUAAAGAGGCGCAUCCUAUCUCCACAUUCGUCUUACCACCAACGACCAUGGUUGCUUUAGGCUUUUGUACUACUAUGAGCCAUCACUGACCAAGCCUCUACAACAGAUGCAGCAUAGAUGAGGACAGAUUCCUGUUUCUGAGAGCAGCUAAAUAUUCAAAAUUUCUCAAAAGCUGCUAUUCCAGCCAAAUCAUGGGCAUUUGUGUACCAAAAAAGAAAUGUACAAUCCAGUAAAAGAAUCAGAUAAUAUCCCCGAAACUCCCUACCAGGAGUGCAGAACCCAAUCUAGCUACAAGGGUGUAAAUUAUAUGUCUAUUAAAUAUACAUGAUCUCUAGUGACAGGUGCACUGUGAUCAUUGACAAUCUCAUUUACCAAGUGAAUGGAAAAGUUGACAACCUGUUUGCAGCAUAUACCUUCUCAACACCCCAGUCUAAACAUUUCUUUAAAAGAAAUUCAGGAAGGGCAAUUAAUUGAGUCAUCAGAAUCAUAUUCGGAAAAUAAAUCACAAUCUGACUCCACUUCAGAAUCAAGACCACUUUCACCCGCUUUAUCACCAAGAACAAUCUUUGAUGGGUCCUCAAGACCUACAUUGGCAGUUUUCUUGUAUAAGCCCCUGCUUCUAUCCAUAAAUCCUUUUCUCAUCAUGCUUGCAAAUCUUUCUCUAAUAUCAACAAGUGGAUGUCUCUGAAUAAGUUGUUGACAAUCAUAGGCUUCCCUAAGAACAACAGUUUGUGUAUCACACAUCUUGGAAAUAUAAAAGAUGCCAGGAUGGCGCUCAAACACCUUAGUAAACUUCUGAGGCAGUGACAAUGGUUUGUGUAGAUUACUCACAUUUUGCCAUUCAGUUUUCUUCUGUAUGGUAAGGUGAAGAAGCUCAUGAAACACGCCCACAAUUCUCUUCUCUGACACAUCAGUACGUGGAUCCAAGUGAGAGGCAUCAACAUAAGGUGACGUAUAAGGUAGUUUCUGCCAUUCUCUUAACCACUCCGUGCAUUUCCUCUUCAAUCCAAAACCCCUUGUAAAUCCUAUUGGAAAUGCUAAACAGUUAUUUUUCAAAUCUUCCUCCAUUUGCAGAAAAGCAUUCUUCUCUAAUUGGGAGACAGCAAGUGUAUCAUCCCAUGAUAAAAGUUUCAAACCAAAGCGAUCGUCAGCAACGUGAACAAAAGAAAAUAAAUCAGGGUAACAUGGAAUGAAGGUUUUGCUGUAAUUAUAAGGCAAUCCCAUAUCCCAUUUCAGCUGGUCGAUAGUUUGUAAGGGAAGGGUCCUAUCCUUGGUAAGCAUCAGCAAUUUGCAGAGCCUGUCAAGCAAAUCAAUCACACUCUCCUGGAUAACACCAACUUCUUCAUGGUAAAGAUUUAAGGCUUCGGCGGUCAACUCAAAGCAAGGAACACGAGUGCCACUGCUGUCAAACACAUAAGACUCAUGAAAAGUAGUAGGGUAUCUCCUCAUAAAUGUGGAUAGCUUAAGAUCAUGGGGCAGACCGAGUUGACCACGAUACCAGGUAAGAUGGUAAAUGGGGAGACGGCAAUUGGAAGCAGAGGAAAUGAUGGAAACAAGAUUGCAGGCUGCUCUUAAAUCUCUUUCAGCAGCAAUAACGGCAUCUAAGGCUUUAUCUUUAACCCAUUUCAACUUAACAUAAACUAGACUGAAAUUCUGCUGGUAAUUAAAUCCCCUCCUCAACAAACAUGAAAAGCUAGAAACUUUAGCUUUUCCACACAAAAACCACUAACCCAUGUCCUUAUUUAAAUAGAAAAAUGAUUAUAAAUCAAUAAUAAGAUGCUCCCAAGUUCACCAAUAAAACAGCCUUAGCAACAUCUACAGUGACAAAGACAAAUACCCAGAUUAAGAUUUUUGGUAAAUUCUGCAUAAACUGCUUGGUAAAGUAAAUAAACAAGAGAAAAAGACCAAAAAGGAAAAAUAGUUAAUUCCUCUGAGACAAUUUAUCAAACAUAAUGCCGCGAUAUGAAAACUGCUUACCUUAAUGAGGCUGAGCUGAAACACCUCAACGAUUAAAACUUGGAUGUCCUUUUAGAGGUUUUAAGUUUGAAUCUUGAGAAGAGACUGAGAAGCGUGAGAUUAUAAUCAUUACCAAAAAAAAAAUUGAAAGCAAAAUAUUUUAAAAAGUCGUGCGAAAUUUUCAAUUUGAAAGUAAAUUUGUGUCUGAGUGCAGCAAAAGCACUUUUAUUUUCAGGUAUUAACCAAGUACAGUAAGGAUUUAUAACAAUUUGAGUGCAUGAAUGGCAGGAGCAAGAAUGUUUUUGGAAGCAUAUUCAGUUGCUUGCAUUGAACACUAAACGGAAUGGGAGUGUAAUUUGCCACAUAUUGGUACAAAAACUAGUUUAAUUAGAAAAAAAAAUUUGAGACCCAAAUUUUACUUUCCUAGAAAAAAAAAUAACAUGCCUAAAUAAUCAUAUGUUUUGUAUUUACAUCUAUGAUUAGAGUUUUAUGUAAUUUUAUCAAUAUAAUAGAGUUAGAUUAAACCCUUUCAUAAGUUUAAACUAUCACUUCUUUAUUUUUAUUUUUCUGUUUUAUCAUUUAAGAAUAGUUAAAAUUGAAACUUAUUUUUCUUCAAAAAAAAAACUUAUUUAUGAAAUUAUGAUAAAAAUUUUCAAAUUUGACUUGAAAACUUUUACAUGUAAUGAAGUAAAAUAAAACUUUAAUCUUCACUUUCCAAGUUCAAAUUUUAUGGUUGAAAUAAAAAAAAUUAGCAACAAAAAGAGUUAAUGGAAGAAUGAGAUGAAAUAAUUUCAUACAAAGUCAACAAGUGAUACAUUUAAACAAUACAACAUGUACCAACUUUAUUGUCAUUACAAUCACACUGUCAAAUUAAAGGGAAUUUCUAGACUAAAUAAACAAAAGCAAUCCAAACCUCACACAUUCUAAGUUCAGAUGCCUACAUUACAUUUAAACUUAUAAUUGAAAAAUAAGUUAUAAUUACAAAAAUAACAAGCAUGACAAGUAACAAAGUAUGGACCAUACUCUGCCUGGGUUUCCUUGCAAAUUAAGUGGAAGUUUUCAAGUAUCUUGACCAAUAACACUUCUGUCCUGCCUUUUCUCAAGAAGAGAAUUACUCUCAUAGAUCAAUUGGUUCUGUACAUUUCCAAUGGACAAUAUAGUUACAUCCAAGAGUAGCACAUUCAAGAGCCAAUUCUUUACAAGGCUCACCACAUUCAAUGCAUUGAGGGUAGUAAUAAAUCUUCUUCACAAAGAUGAGAGGAUGUGGAUGAUCUCCUUCUUUGUAGGUACUCCCGAGUUUGAUAUAUCGAUAGUCUUCAAGAACACAAUCCUUAUGAGCAGAAGUAUCACAAGUUGCACAAUGAUAAAACCAAUAAUUUGAAUUUCUUCUCUCCUCACAAAUGUCACAAUAAUGACAUUCUGAAUAAUCAUUAUCAUCUUUAUAAGUGAGUACAAAAACAUGUUCAUCGCAUUUGUGUCGAGUUGUAGUUGGUAGAGCAACACAUGUCACACAUAAAGCAAAAUUGCAACCCUUACAACAGUAUCCUUCAUCCAUGUCAUCACCACAACCACAACACUUCCCUUCAUACUCGACAUAAAGAAGGAGGGGGUGUUUAUGUCCUUGACAUGUUAGAGUAUCAGGAGUUAGAGACAUACAUCGAAGGCAUACACGAUCGCCACAUUCGUUACAUCUAUAGGCAAAGCCAUUGGAUAGGUAACGACAUGAUUCACAUCUAAAAAUGCAGUCAGAAAUGAGGAUGAAGGAACUUUGCUGGCAAUAAUGAAACCAAACAUGCUUCAUCAUCUUAGGUAAUUCAGCACAGGCUUUAUGAAGAAAGAAAUCACAUUCUAAACAAUAGUAAAAGGAAGCUGAGAUAGGUAACAUGCACGCCUCACAAUAUUUAUCAUACUCCGCAAUUUUCUCACUUAACAUCAACUCAUGCAUAUGCUUGAAAUGUUUUAUUUUUGUGGCUUCUCCAGCAUCAUUCCUCUCAAUAACACAAGUGAUGGAGUCGAUAGAUUCA